GACGAACGCUGGCGGCGUGCUUAACACAUGCAAGUCGAACGGAAAGGCCCCUUUGGGGGUACUCGAGUGGCGAACGGGUGAGUAACACGUGAGUAACCUGCCCUUGACUUCGGGAUAACUUCAGGAAACUGGGGCUAAUACCGGAUAGGAAUCCUUGCUGCAUGGUGGGGGUUGGAAAGCUUCGGCGGUUUUGGAUGGACUCGCGGCUUAUCAGCUUGUUGGUGGGGCAGUGGCUUACCAAGGCUUUGACGGGUAGCCGGCCUGAGAGGGCGACCGGCCACAUUGGGACUGAGAUACGGCCCAGACUCCUACGGGAGGCAGCAGUGGGGAAGAUUGCACAAUGGGCGGAAGCCUGAUGCAGCAACGCCGCGUGCGGGAUGACGGACUUCGGGUUGUAAACCGCUUUCAGCAGGGGCGAAGCUUGUGGUGACGGUACCUGCAGAAGAAGCACCGGCUAACUACGUG
rnacentral:rRNA from 1 species